UCGGGCAGUUGUCAGCGGACUGCUGUAAGCCUAGUUUGGGCCGGUAAUAGGAUGAUGAAUCCAUGUGGGGCUGGGAUCACGUGUGCUGGUGGUUACUUAGGUAUACCGCCCAUUAGAAGCUUGGUGUGGACAUUCUGUCUUGGGCGUAGGCCCGGGGCAAGAGGCCCUUGAAUAACUGUCUGCUACAGGCCAGCAAUGGAUCAGUAGAAAUGAUGGUAGCACUGGGCAGUCUGGUGGAUCACGGGAAUUAGUUUGGACUCUAGCACAUGCCAGCCUUGGGUGGAGACUACCAUCCGCU
rnacentral:SRP_RNA from 1 species